GUGCUUGCUUCAGCAGCAUAUAUACUAAAGUUGGAACGAUACGGAGUAGAUUAGCAUGCCCCUGCAUGAAGGUGACAGGCAAAUUCAUGAAGGCUUCCUUAUAUAU